CCUACGGGUGGCAGCAGUAGGGAAUCUUCCACAAUGGGCGAAAGCCUGAUGGAGCAACGCCGCGUGGGUGAAGAAGGUCUUCGGAUCGUAAAACCCUGUUGUUAGAGAAGAAAGUGCGUGAGAGUAACUGUUCACGUUUCGACGGUAUCUAACCAGAAAGCCACGGCUAACUACGUGCCAGCAGCCGCGGUAAUACGUAGGUGGCAAGCGUUAUCCGGAUUUAUUGGGCGUAAAGGGAACGCAGGCGGUCUUUUAAGUCUGAUGUGAAAGCCUUCGGCUUAACCGGAGUAGUGCAUUGGAAACUGGGAGACGUGAGUGCAGAAGAGGAGAGUGGAACUCCAUGUGUAGCGGUGAAAUGCGUAGAUAUAUGGAAGAACACCAGUGGCGAAGGCGGCUGUCUGGUCUGCAACUGACGCUGAGGCUCGAAAGCAUGGGUAGCGAACAGGAUUAGAUACCCCUGUAGUC
rnacentral:rRNA from 1 species